rnacentral:misc_RNA from 1 species
GAUGAAGAACGUAGCGAAAUGCGAUAAGUAAUGUGAAUUGCAGAAUUCAGUGAAUCAUCGAAUCUUUGAACGCACAUUGCGCCCCCUGGUAUUCCGGGGGGCAUGCCUGUUCGAGCGUCAUUUCACCACUCAAGCCUCGCUUGGUAUUGGGCAACGCGGCCCGCCGCGUGCCUCAAAUCGACCGGCUGGGUCUUCUGUCCCCUAAGCGUUGUGGAAACUAUUCGCUAAAGGGUGCUCGGGAGGCUACGCCGUAAAACAAACCCAUUUCUAAGGUUGACCUCGGAUCAGGUAGGGAUACCCGCUGAACUUAAGCAUAUCAAUAAGCGGAGGA